rnacentral:rRNA from 1 species
UACGGAGGGGGCUAGCGUUGUUCGGAAUUACUGGGCGUAAAGGGUGCGUAGGCGGGUCUUUAAGUCAGGGGUGAAAUCCUGGAGCUCAACUCCAGAACUGCCUUUGAUACUGAAGGUCUUGAGUUCGGGAGAGGUGAGUGGAACUGCGAGUGUAGAGGUGAAAUUCGUAGAUAUUCGCAAGAACACCAGUGGCGAAGGCGGCUCACUGGCCCGAUACUGACGCUGAGGCACGAAAGCGUGGGGAGCAAACAGG